UCGCUCCUACCGAUUUCGAGUGAUCCGGUGAACCUUCUGGACUGCGGUAGCACAAGCUAUUGCGGGAAGUUAAGUAAACCACUUCACUUAGAGGAAGGAG
rnacentral:rRNA from 1 species